CAAAUCAUUCAAGACACGAUAUUG
rnacentral:siRNA from 1 species